GCCAACGUAGCUUAAUUAAAGCAUAACACUGAAGAUGUUAAGAUGGACCCUAGAAAGUCUCGUUAGCA
rnacentral:tRNA from 3 species